AUGGCGAUGGACAGUGCCCAGAUGCAGCCCACGUCCAGCAGCGCGUUGCGGGACACCCUGAGCGAGGAGGAGCGCCGCAACAAAACACAGCCUAUCCUUAGCAAUUCCCCAGAGUUUUGGCUAAUAAAUUUGUCCAAAGUCAAAAAAAAAAAAAAAGAUGAAACAUCUUUUUGGAAUUCCAGUCAUCCAAGAGGAUGGAAUGAUCAUGUACAUAUUUUAGAAACUGAAACUUUUACCUGGAGCCAGCCUAUAACUACUGGUAAAGCACCUUCACAUCGUGCUGCCCAUGCCUGCGCAACUAUCCGAAACAAAGGCUUUGUGUUUGGAGGCAGAUGCCGAGAUGCUAGAAUGAAUGAUCUUCACUAUCUUAAUCUGGAUACAAGGGAGUGGAAUGAAUUAAUUCCACAAGGCAUAUGCCCAGUUGGCCGAUCUUGGCACUCACUAACACCAGUUUCUUCAGAUCAUCUUUUUCUCCUUGGAGGAUUUACCACUGAUAAACAGCCACUAAGUGAUGCCUGGACUUACUGCAUCAGUAAAAAUGAAUGGAUACAGUUUAAUCAUCCAUAUGCUGAAAAACCAAGGUUAUGGCACACAGCUUGUGCCAGUGAUGAAGGAGAAUAAUUGUUUUUGGAGGAUGUGCCAACAACCUGCUUGUCCAUCACAGAGCUGCACACAGUAAUGAAAUACUAAUAUUUUCAGUUCAACCAAAAUCUCCUAUAUGGCUAAGUUUAGAAGCAGUUAUUUGUUUUAAAGAAAUGUUAGCCAACUCAUGGACCUGCCUUCCAAAACGCUUACUUCACAGUGUUAGUCAGAGGUUUGGUAGUAACAACACUUCUGGAUCUUAAGGCUUCAUAAAUAAUGCCUCUGAUCACCUUGCAUGGACAGCAAUCCUGUAAACAUCACAGAGCUGGCAUCAUUUGUAUAAUUAUAUGCAUUGUUGUAGUUUGCAACUUUUGGUUUUAAUGUGAAUGUGAAUGGCCUAGAGAACCUAUUUUUGUGUCUGUUUACAAUAAAUGUAUUUAACACCAAAAAAAAAA